GGGGCUAUAGCUCAAUUGGGAGAGCGCUACGUUCGCAACGUAGAGGUUAGCGGUUCGAUCCCGCUUAGCUCCA
rnacentral:tRNA from 6 species